GGGUUUCCAACUCUACUGUUGGAGAAGAGCCAUGGAGACCAGGAUAUUCACCCAGGCCUUCAACAAGGAGCCUCACUUCAGUAUUGCUGGGUGCUGUUUCCCUCCAUUUGCAGUUGGACUCAGUUUCCACCAGCCAAUGUGAAGAAGCCAGCAAUACCUGCAAAAUUCAUAGACAUUUUAUCCCUAUUUCCAUUGCUUAAAGAAGGGGAAACAUGUGGAUACAGAUGAUUUAGAAGAAAGCAGCUGGGACUUCCAACUGCCUGAGGAAGAGGACUUAUCACAAUUGCCACUUCUCAACAUUUCCUCCUGCUACUGCCAGCCUCUGUUAGCAGACAACCAUAUUUUGGAGAAGACGGAGCUGGCUGAGGAACCAUUUAACUUGUUAAAACUCUCUCUGUUCUGAACUAUACUUAAGUCAGAUCGCUUUUCACAUCCUUUCUAACCACACCCAGGGACUAGAGU